UAGGGGGCAAGCGUUAUCCGGAUUUACUGGGUGUAAAGGGAGCGUAGACGGCAAUGCAAGUCUGAAGUGAAAGCCCAGGGCUUAACCCUGGGACUGCUUUGGAAACUGUGUAGCUGGAGUGCAGGAGAGGUAAGUGGAAUUCCUAGUGUAGCGGUGAAAUGCGUAGAUAUUAGGAGGAACACCAGUGGCGAAGGCGGCUUACUGGACUGUAACUGACGUUGAGGCUCGAAAGCGUGGGGAGCAAA
rnacentral:rRNA from 1 species